UACGUAGGCAGCAAGCGUUGUUCGGAAUUACUGGGCGUAAAGGGUGCGUAGGCGGCUUUUUAAGUUUGGUGUGAAAUCUCCUGGCUCAACUGGGAGGGUGCGCCGAAUACUGAGAAGCUAGAGUGUGGGAGAGGAAAGUGGAAAUUCCUGGUGUAGCGGUGAAAUGCGUAGAUAUCAGGAGGAACACCGAUUGCGAAGGCAGCUCGCUGGAACGUUUACUGACGCUGAGACGCGAAAGCGUGGGGAGCAAACAGG
rnacentral:rRNA from 1 species